CUAGGAUUAGAUACCCUAUUAUUUAAAAUUUAAAAACUAAAUUAUUAAUAGUUAUAGUCUUUAAAAUUAAAAAAUUUGGCGGUAUUUUAGUCUAUUCAGAGGAACCUGUUUUGUAAUCGAUACUCCACGUUGGACCUUACUUUAAUUUAUAAAUUAGUUUAUAUACCGUUGUUAUAAAAAAUUUUAUAAGAAUAAUAAUUUUUAAAAUUAUAUAUCAGAUCAAGGUGUAGCUUAUAUUAAAGAAAAUAAUGGGUUACAAUAAAAUUAUUUAUAUGAAAAUUAAUAUGAAAAAUUAAUGGAAAAAGGAUUUGAUAGUAAAAUUAUAUAGAUAAAUAAUUUGAUUUUAGCUCUAAAAUAUGUACAUAUCGCCCGUCACUCUUACUAUUNNNAUAAAAUAAG
rnacentral:rRNA from 1 species